rnacentral:rRNA from 1 species
AGAGUUUGAUCCUGGCUCAGGAUGAACGCUGGCGGCGUGCUUAACACAUGCAAGUCGAACGAAGCACUACCGACGGAACUUUUCGGAGGGAAGAUGGUAAUGACUGAGUGGCGGACGGGUGAGUAACGCGUGGGCAACCUGCCCCAUAGAGGGGGACAACAGCUGGAAACGGCUGCUAAUACCGCAUAACAAGGAGAGAGCGCAUGUUCUUUUCUUCAAAGAUUUAUCGCUAUGGGAUGGACCCGCGUCUGAUUAGCUGGUUGGUGAGGUAACGGCUCACCAAGGCGACGAUCAGUAGCCGGCUUGAGAGAGUGGACGGCCACAUUGGGACUGAGACACGGCCCAGACUCCUACGGGAGGCAGCAGUGGGGAAUAUUGCACAAUGGGGGAAACCCUGAUGCAGCGACGCCGCGUGAGUGAAGAAGUAUUUCGGUAUGUAAAGCUCUAUCAGCAGGGAAGAUAAUGACGGUACCUGACUAAGAAGCCCCGGCUAACUACGUGCCAGCAGCCGCGGUAAUACGUAAGGGGCAAGCGUUAUCCGGAUUUACUGGGUGUAAAGGGAGCGUAGGUGGCAGGGCAAGUCAGAUGUGAAAACCCGGGGCUCAACCCCGGGAGUGCAUUUGAAACUGUCCAGCUGGAGUGCAGGAGAGGUAAGCGGAAUUCCUAGUGUAGCGGUGAAAUGCAUAGAUAUUAGGAGGAACACCAGUGGCGAAGGCGGCCUGCUGGGCUUUUACUGACGCUGAGGCUCGAAAGUGUGGGGAGCAAACAGGAUUAGAUACCCUGGUAGUCCACACCGUAAACGAUGAUUACUAGGUGUGGGGGGGUCUGACCCCUUCCGUGCCGGAGUUAAC